CGAAAUGCGAUAAGUAAUGUGAAUUGCAGAAUUCAGUGAAUCAUCGAAUCUUUGAACGCACAUUGCGCCCUUUGGUAUUCCGAAGGGCAUGCCUGUUCGAGCGUCAUUACAACCCUCAAGCUCUGCUUGGUAUUGGGCUUCGCUGGAGGAAUCCGGCGGGCCUCAAAGUCAUAGGCGGCGGUGCCCCUGCUUUAAGCGUGGUAAAGUUCAUCUUUCGCUUGUAAGUGGAGGCGCUGCUUGCCGAACAAUCCGGGCUCCCGCCCACUUCUUAGGUUGACCUCGGAUCAGGUAGGGAUACCCGCUGAACUUAAGC
rnacentral:misc_RNA from 1 species